AUUUUGUAUAUAUGUCUGAUGCAUCGGCGAUUGUAUGUAAAUCAAUCAGUUUUAGUGAAUUAGGAAACAAGUGUGGUGUUGCAAAAAUGGGAUUUCUUCAAAGUUUAAUUGUUGUUUUGGUUGGACUCGUGUUUUUAGCUCAGAACAUACAAGGCCAUUUUUGGGGCGGGCCUGGUUGGUAUAGACCCAGGUUCGGGUACGGUUUCGGCCCUAGAUUUGGGCCUGGCUUCGGACCUUACUAUGGACCUGUGUACGGGCCACCGCUACCACCACCACCACCACUGUUCUUUGGUUGAAGAUGGACUGGAUAGAAUAUAAUAAGGAUUUUUUUUUUUAAUGUUAUGUGAAUAAAGGACUGUUGAAAUAUUAA